ACACGCGCACGCGCACUUUGCCCGGUGGCCGCAGUUCUCGCACCAAACUACAUUCGAAAACACCUGAAUUUAGAAACACGGAAGCUUGUUUGCUGCUUUCUCGACAUUAACAGACUUCUCGCAGAGCAAAGCGAGAUGGCGACGGUCUGCUGGACCAUUCGGCGAACAUUCGGAGAACCACUGAGCACCGGAAGUCACCGAUAAUGGAGGUUUGUUCUGGCCGGAGGGGUUAAAAGUGCACUUUGCAGGCGAAGACAACAGCUGAGACCGUGUGAACUUCACGACAGACGCGAAGUGUCCUUGAGCUUCGUUUGGACCCCGACAGACGAACCAGAACCACACGCACUGAUCCCGGGUCCACUCACCACUCCCACAGAUCCCCCCGCGGCUCCGCGCGAGAAACAGCAAAACCCACACGGACAGAUUCAUGCUCUCAUUACACACGCGACCCGGGUUGACUCGGCUCGGCUCGGCUCGGUUCUGGUCUCCCUCCCCGUUCCCCGGGGGAAGAGGUGGUUAGUCGGCGGUCGUUUGGAGGAUGAGACGCUGAAUUCAUGGAAGAGAAAAAACUUUCUUCUUCGGCAAAAGGAGGAAAGUGCAGAAAGUUGGUGACGUCAAGCAGCGUGCGUGAGGUCUCACACCGGAAGGGAUGCCUUCAAAAUAAAUCCGACUUCUGCACUUUCUAUUUCAUUUGUUUCAUUCUUGCAUCAUAUUUUAAUUGUAAUACUGGUGGUGGAUUUGGAUUUACACCACAUGUUUAAUUCAAAACAAACGCCUUAAAUAAUAUGUCUACCUAUUUAAACAUAUUAAGGUGUUUACAUUAGUAGUAUUUUUUAAUAUUUCACAUCAUCAUUUUUAACCACAAAGCUCAAUGUGAAGGAAACAUUAAUGACGUCACCGGAAGUGCGUGGUACAUUCAGUCCACAUUGACGUUGUUUGUUGAUUUCUCCCUCGGGAAAAUGUUCGUGCGUGCGUCACUGCGCAUGACCAGUACCUGGUGGUGUGACGUCACAGAUUGGGUACAGCGUGUAGAUACACACUUAUUACACGUAUAAAUAAUCAGACAUCAGAAGAUGUUUAGCUAUUUGGAUUCAUUAACACGUUUUUAUUUCAAUUAAUCAAGUAUGAAGUAACGUUUUUAUUGAUUUCAUAGCAUUUAUUAAUUAAAUAAACAAUGAAAUUCUAUUAUACAAACUCACAUCUUCUAUUUCAGCGACAUAUCCAGGAUUAAUUCCAUCGUGUAUUCAUCUCACAUGAGAUAAUUCAGUAAAUGAUUACUUUAUUGUUUUCAUAAUCUGUAACUGAUCUGCUUGUCAUGUUGAGCAUUGCCGAAUAAAAUAAAACAUCUUCUGCUUCAUAACAGGAGACAUAUGCAUUUAAACAGAUUCACAA